GGUUAAGCGACUAAGCGUACACGGUGGAUGCCCUGGCAGUCAGAGGCGAUGAAGGACGUGCUAAUCUGCGAAAAGCGUCGGUAAGGUGAUAUGAACCGUUAUAACCGGCGAUGUCCGAAUGGGGAAACCCAGUGCAAUUCGUUGCACUAUCGUUAACUGAAUACAUAGGUUAACGAGGCGAACCGGGGGAACUGAAACAUCUAAGUACCCCGAGGAAAAGAAAUCAACCGAGAUUCCCCCAGUAGCGGCGAGCGAACGGGGAGCAGCCCGGAGUCUGAAUCAGCUUGUGUGUUAGUGGAAGCGUCUGGAAAGUCGCAGGGUACAGGGUGAUACUCCCGUACACUAAAACACACAGGCUGUGAACUCGAAGAGUAGGGCGGGACACGUGGUAUCCUGUCUGAAUAUGGGGGGACCAUCCUCCAAGGCUAAAUACUCCUGACUGACCGAUAGUGAACCAGUACCGUGAGGGAAAGGCGAAAAGAACCCCGGCGAGGGGAGUGAAAAAGAACCUGAAACCGUGUACGUACAAGCAGUAGGAGCCCACUAGUUGGGUGACUGCGUACCUUUUGUAUAAUGGGUCAGCGACUUAUAUUCUGUAGCAAGGUUAACCGAAUAGGGGAGCCGCAGGGAAACCGAGUCUUAACUGGGCGUUAAGUUGCAGGGUAUAGACCCGAAACCCGGUGAUCUAGCCAUGGGCAGGUUGAAGGUUGGGUAACACUAACUGGAGGACCGAACCGACUAAUGUUGAAAAAUUAGCGGAUGACUUGUGGCUGGGGGUGAAAGGCCAAUCAAACCGGGAGAUAGCUGGUUCUCCCCGAAAGCUAUUUAGGUAGCGCCUCGUGAACUCAUCUUCGGGGGUAGAGCACUGUUUCGGCUAGGGGGUCAUCCCGACUUACCAACCCGAUGCAAACUACGAAUACCGAAGAAUGUUAUCACGGGAGACACACGGCGGGUGCUAACGUCCGUCGUGAAGAGGGAAACAACCCAGACCGCCAGCUAAGGUCCCAAAGUCAUGGUUAAGUGGGAAACGAUGUGGGAAGGCCCAGACAGCCAGGAUGUUGGCUUAGAAGCAGCCAUCAUUUAAAGAAAGCGUAAUAGCUCACUGGUCGAGUCGGCCUGCGCGGAAGAUGUAACGGGGCUAAACCAUGCACCGAAGCUGCGGCAGCGACACUAUGUGUUGUUGGGUAGGGGAGCGUUCUGUAAGCCGUUGAAGGUGGCCUGUGAGGGUUGCUGGAGGUAUCAGAAGUGCGAAUGCUGACAUAAGUAACGAUAAUGCGGGUGAAAAACCCGCACGCCGGAAGACCAAGGGUUCCUGUCCAACGUUAAUCGGGGCAGGGUGAGUCGACCCCUAAGGCGAGGCCGAAAGGCGUAGUCGAUGGGAAACAGGUUAAUAUUCCUGUACUUGGUGUUACUGCGAAGGGGGGACGGAGAAGGCUAUGUUGGCCGGGCGACGGUUGUCCCGGUUUAAGCAUGUAGGCGGAUGUUCCAGGUAAAUCCGGAACGUUACUAACGCUGAGGUGUGAUGACGAGGCACUACGGUGCUGAAGUGACAAAUGCCCUGCUUCCAGGAAAAGCCUCUAAGCAUCAGGUAACAUCAAAUCGUACCCCAAACCGACACAGGUGGUCAGGUAGAGAAUACCAAGGCGCUUGAGAGAACUCGGGUGAAGGAACUAGGCAAAAUGGUGCCGUAACUUCGGGAGAAGGCACGCUGAUGGUAAGUGAAGUGACUUGCUCAUGGAGCUGAAAUCAGUCGAAGAUACCAGCUGGCUGCAACUGUUUAUUAAAAACACAGCACUGUGCAAACACGAAAGUGGACGUAUACGGUGUGACGCCUGCCCGGUGCCGGAAGGUUAAUUGAUGGGGUUAUCCUCGCGGAGAAGCUCUUGAUCGAAGCCCCGGUAAACGGCGGCCGUAACUAUAACGGUCCUAAGGUAGCGAAAUUCCUUGUCGGGUAAGUUCCGACCUGCACGAAUGGCGUAAUGAUGGCCAGGCUGUCUCCACCCGAGACUCAGUGAAAUUGAACUCGCUGUGAAGAUGCAGUGUACCCGCGGCAAGACGGAAAGACCCCGUGAACCUUUACUAUAGCUUGACACUGAACACUGGUCCUUGAUGUGUAGGAUAGGUGGGAGGCUUUGAAGUGUGGACGCCAGUCUGCAUGGAGCCAUCCUUGAAAUACCACCCUUUAAUGGCUGGUGUUCUAACGUGGGCCCGUGAUCCGGGUUGCGGACAGUGUCUGGUGGGUAGUUUGACUGGGGCGGUCUCCUCCUAAAGAGUAACGGAGGAGCACGAAGGUCAGCUAAUCCUGGUCGGACAUCAGGAGGUUAGUGCAAUGGCAUAAGCUGGCUUGACUGCGAGCGUGACGGCGCGAGCAGGUGCGAAAGCAGGUCAUAGUGAUCCGGUGGUUCUGAAUGGAAGGGCCAUCGCUCAACGGAUAAAAGGUACUCCGGGGAUAACAGGCUGAUACCGCCCAAGAGUUCAUAUCGACGGCGGUGUUUGGCACCUCGAUGUCGGCUCAUCACAUCCUGGGGCUGAAGUAGGUCCCAAGGGUAUGGCUGUUCGCCAUUUAAAGUGGUACGCGAGCUGGGUUUAGAACGUCGUGAGACAGUUCGGUCCCUAUCUGCCGUGGGCGCUGGAGAAUUGAGGGGGGCUGCUCCUAGUACGAGAGGACCGGAGUGGACGCAUCACUGGUGUUCGGGUUGUCAUGCCAAUGGCAUUGCCCGGUAGCUAAAUGCGGAAGAGAUAAGUGCUGAAAGCAUCUAAGCACGAAACUUGCCCCGAGAUGAGUUCUCCCUGACUCCUUGAGAGUCCUGAAGGAACGUUGAAGACGACGACGUUGAUAGGCCGGGUGUGUAAGCGCAGCGAUGCGUUGAGCUAACCGGUACUAAUGAACCGUGAGGCUUAACCUU
rnacentral:rRNA from 1 species